UCCCUGGCAGUCCAAUGGUUAGGACUCUGUGCUUCCACUGCAGAGAGAGAACGCAGGUUCUAUCCCUGGUCAGGGAA
rnacentral:tRNA from 1 species